rnacentral:rRNA from 1 species
UACAGAGGGUGCAAGCGUUAAUCGGAAUUACUGGGCGUAAAGCGCGCGUAGGUGGUUUGUUAAGUUGGAUGUGAAAUCUCCGGGCUCAACCUGGGAACUGCAUUCAAAACUGACUGACUAGAGUAUGGUAGAGGGUGGUGGAAUUUCCUGUGUAGCGGUGAAAUGCGUAGAUAUAGGAAGGAACACCAGUGGCGAAGGCGACCCCCUGGACUAAUACUGACGCUGAGGUGCGAAAGCGUGGGGAGCAAACAGG